GAUGUUUUCAAGUGUUAGUAAAGCUUUGUUUUGUUGAAGAUUUCUUAUGGAGAACACUCAUGUGUUGAGACUCUCUAUUUAAUUUGUAUAAUUUUCAUGAGUUGUGAGAUUCUGUCAUAUGUUGGAAUUGCACAAGCAUUUACCUUAUUGUGUUGAAUACUAACUCUUUUGAAUUUUUCUUCCCGCUUAUUGUGUUUUAACUCUUACUUUGUAUACUAGUGAAUAUGUACUAACUUUUUGUGUAUUCUAAAUAAAUCCUUGCUUUGUGCUAAUUCCCAUAAGUUGAGACACUGGUAUAUAUUUUUUUUCAAAGUGUUUUUUAUGAGUUUAUUUUCUUCACAUGAUAUUUGUAUAAUAUGAAUUCUAGAAACCAAGUUUCAAUGUUCAACUAAGUUUCUUGAGAUGUGUUAAAUAGGCAAUUGCUGAAUUUAGGUACUGAUAUUUCUAAAUUUAGGUACUGACUUUCUAAAUAUAGAUGCUGACUUUCUAAAAGUAGGUGCUGACAUCUGAUUUUAGUAAGUGACAGCGAGUUAUUAAGUUUCAAUUUUUUUUCGUUUUUUUAAAGUCUUAUCAGUUUCAUCCAGCUGAAUUGGAUGAAGAUCUAUAUUUGGAUGAAAUUUCUAAAUUUAGCAAAUUUUCUAAAUUAGAUAAAAUUUGAAUUUGAGUAAAACUUAGAUUCAGAUGUAGAUCUAUUUUUAGUCUUUUGUUAAUCAUGGAUGAAGUUUGGAUGAAACCAUGCUAUCUUUGAAAAUUGUGGAUUUUAAAAAAUGAGUUUUUAUGUCCGAUCAAAACUUCAUGAAAUACAUCCAGGUCCCAAUAGCUAAAUUUAGGUACUGAAUUUCUAAAAUUAGUAAGUGGCAGCAAGCUAUUAACUCUCAGUUUUCCAUUUUGUCGUUUCUUAUCAGUUUCAUCCAUCUGAAUUGGAUGAAAAUCUAAAUUUGGAUGAAAAUCUAAAUUCAGAUUAAAAUAAGAUUUUUAUUGAAACUAAAGUUUGGAUGUAAUCCUAUUUUUAGACAUAUUCUAACUUUGGAUGAAGUUUGGAUGAAACUGUGUUUAGUAAAAUUGUGAGCUGUUGCAGCUUUCUAAUUAUAGAAUUUUUGCUAAUUCUAGCUAGAGUCUAAACUUAGGAAAAUUCUAUAAUUAGCUGAUUACUAAAAAUAGAUGUAUUUAUAUAAUAUGGAGAAAUUUUAUAGAAUCUUGAAGAUGUUUAGGCUUGGAUAAAUAUUCUAACUUGUACUAAUCCACAUUUAGGCAGAAUCUAAUUAUGUAAAUUUACUAAAAAUAGAAAUUAGUACCAUCUAACUUUUUGUGGCUAAUUAGUUGCAGUCAGAAACCCGGUGUUUUCUUGGGGCAACGCUCUCUCUCACGACACCGUUUGGGUUUUCCAUCUAAAACAUAUUAAACUUAUAACAAAAAUUGACAAUUUAAUAACCUCUACUCCUUGCACUAAUUUUUGAAUAUGCUAGUUGUUUAUUUUCUACCUUCAACAAUUGUAUAUAAGGAACUAACGUCAUGCUCAAUACAACGGUAAAACAUAUAGACCAUGUGUAGUGCAAAAAUACAAUAUGAAGUGAAGUGAAAUUGUGGUGAUCCACUCAACUCAGGGAUGAAAGUGAACCACUUUCUUUACUUCAAGCUGUAUAAUCUUUCUAUCUGUAUGGUCAAAGUUGAUAACAUUUGAUGAAUAUGUUUCUCAAUGCAUUGUUACUGAGAUCCUACGGUUCUAAUGUCUAUGUAAUAUAUAGAAAAUACCCAUGCAAAAUCUAGAUUUAUGGUAUGCAUUCUGUCCAAACCACUCUGUAAGAAAUAAAUAUUUACUUCAAAAAUCCUAUGUCAAACUAG
rnacentral:lncRNA from 1 species